GACGCCGCAUGGGGGAUGACGGCCCUCGGGUUGUAAACCCCUACCCAGUGGGAAGAACAGGGAUGUCAGGUAAUGGGCAUCCUUUGACAUUACCACUGAUACUAGCUCCGGCUAACUACGUGCCAGCAACGUCGGUGACUGAGCGGGCUGGCAAGGCGCAUA
rnacentral:rRNA from 1 species